GUGAAUCAUCAAAUUUUUGAACGCAAAUUGCGCUUCCUGGCAUCCCGGGAAGUAUGCCUGUUUGAGGGUCAGUAUUAACAAAAAAUCGGUUUGGUUGCAAAUUGUGACGUUUCCGGAGUUUGGGCUAUCUUAACUUUUUUGGUUAAGGGGCUUAAAAUUGACCUUUUUUGCGCAUUUUUAGACGUACAUAAAUUUUUUUUAUUUCGUCUUUUUUUAUGGCAAAAAUCCUUUUAGAUCGU
rnacentral:misc_RNA from 1 species